GACGAACGCUGGCGGCGUGCUUAACACAUGCAAGUCGAACGGAAAGGCCCUGCUUUUGUGGGGUGCUCGAGUGGCGAACGGGUGAGUAACACGUGAGUAACCUGCCCUUGACUUUGGGAUAACUUCAGGAAACUGGGGCUAAUACCGGAUAGGAGCUCCUGCUGCAUGGUGGGGGUUGGAAAGUUUUGGCGGUUGGGGAUGGACUCGCGGCUUAUCAGCUUGUUGGUGGGGUAGUGGCUUACCAAGGCGUUGACGGGUAGCCGGCCUGAGAGGGUGACCGGCCACAUUGGGACUGAGAUACGGCCCAGACUCCUACGGGAGGCAGCAGUGGGGAAUAUUGCACAAUGGGCGGAAGCCUGAUGCAGCAACGCCGCGUGCGGGAUGACGGCCUUCGGGUUGUAAACCGCUUUCGCCUGUGACGAAGCGUGAGUGACGGUAAUGGGUAAAGAAGCACCGGCUAACUACGUG
rnacentral:rRNA from 1 species